rnacentral:rRNA from 1 species
AUACGGAGGGUCCAAGCGUUAUCCGGAUUCAUUGGGUUUAAAGGGUCCGCAGGCGGGGAAAUAAGUCAGUGGUGAAAGCCUACAGCUCAACUGUAGAACUGCCAUUGAUACUGUUUUUCUUGAGUAUAGAUGAAGUGGGCGGAAUAUAUCAUGUAGCGGUGAAAUGCAUAGAUAUGAUAUAGAACACCGAUUGCGAAGGCAGCUCACUAAACUAUUACUGACGCAGGGACGAAAGCGUGGGGAGCGAACAGGAUUAGAAACCCCAGUAGUCC